GACGAACGCUGGCGGCGUGCCUAAUACAUGCAAGUAGAACGCACAGUUUAUACCGUAGCUUGCUACACCAUAGACUGUGAGUUGCGAACGGGUGAGUAACGCGUAGGUAACCUGCCUGGUAGCGGGGGAUAACUAUUGGAAACGAUAGCUAAUAACGCAUAAUAUUAAUUAUUGCAUGAUAAUUAAUUGAAAGGUGCAAUUGCACCACUACCAGAUGGACCUGCGUUGUAUUAGCUUGUAGGUGAGGUAACGGCUCACCUAGGGGAAGAUACAUAACCGACCUGGAGAGGAGGACGGGCAACCUGGGAACUGAGCAACGGCCAAGACUCCACGGGGGGGAACAAUAGGGGAAUAUUGGACAAUGAGGGAAAGCCUGACGAAGAACGGCGGGUGGGGUGAGGAAGGUUUUCGGUUGUAAAAGUACGUUGUGAGGGGAGAAAGGGUGUAAAGGUGGAAAGUUCACACUGUGACGGUAUCUUACCAGAAAGGGACGGCUAACUACGUG
rnacentral:rRNA from 1 species